rnacentral:rRNA from 1 species
AGAUUGAACGCUGGCGGCAUGCCUUACACAUGCAAGUCGAACGGCAGCACGGGAGCAAUCCUGGUGGCGAGUGGCGAACGGGUGAGUAAUACAUCGGAACGUGCCCAAGUCGUGGGGGAUAACGCAGCGAAAGCUGUGCUAAUACCGCAUAAGAUCUACGGAUGAAAGCAGGGGAUCGCAAGACCUUGCGCGAAUGGAGCGGCCGAUGGCAGAUUAGGUAGUUGGUGAGGUAAGGCUCACCAAGCCUUCGAUCUGUAGCUGGUCUGAGAGGACGACCAGCCACACUGGGACUGAGACCACGGCCCAGACCUCCGUACGGGAGGCAGCGAGGUAGGGUAAUUUGGACAAGUGGGACGAAAGCCUGAUCCAGCCAUCGCCGUCGUGCG